GUCCCUCAGUACAAAUGAUGUUAUUUUACUUUAUUGCUACAUUUAUAUCUCACAUAUCACGUGGUUCUUCCCCUCCUUCCCAUAUCACCAAAGUCUUGGCUGAGUGGGGAUUUCAACCGUCAUCUCCCAGGUCUUAGUCCAACACUCUAACCACUACACCACAUGGAGGAUUCUUUGAAACCUCUUCUGAAGCAGCAAUGGACUGGAUAUAUGUAUGCACAUGUGGCUGUGGAAAGUCAAUACAAUCUAUAUUUUUGUGCAUGGAUAUUUACAUACCCAUCCCUUGGUUGCAACCAUUCUGUGAUGUUAAUAGUAUUUGGCGCUCUUGUUACAACCAGUAGCAUUUGGCUGACUGGGAUGCCGAGAGGAUAAUGGUGAUGAUAAAUGUUCAUAAAUAUUCUUAUCAGGGAAGUAUAAAAUGAUUGCCAUAGGAAAUGCCAGAUCUACCAAUGCACCCAAUGCAGAUGGGGGGGGGGGAGGUGUGAGACAGAAACUUUUCUUCUCCCCCUUUUGCCCCUUCCAUUGAGCUGUGUGGGAGGGAAUGAACUACAUCAGUUCCAAGGCUGAGCCCCACUUUUUUUUGGUCAAGGUCUCCCCACCACACCUCCAGAAUACUCUGUUUUAACCCCAUUGCCAGACAGUCACCAUUGGCGAUACAUCAUAGGAAGCUGUCUUCAAUUGAGUCAGGCCCAUUGCUCCAUCUAGCUCCAGGAUUUCAGACAUGGGACAAUUCCCAGCCCAACCUGGAGAUAUGAGGGAUUGAACCUGGGAUCUUCUGCAUGCAAGACAGAUGACAUACCACUCACCCACGGCCUACAUGAAUGCCCAUGAGACAUUCCAGUGGGGGAACACCAGGCGUUGAAGCUCCAGUUAGUGUAUGUGCUGUUCUACUGAUGGGCGUUCCUCUCCAGCCACUUAACACCAAUUCCAACAAUCCUUUACAACUGGAUUUCUCCCUAACCAUCCAGUCUAUGUUUAUUCAGGAGUUAGCCUCAUUAAACCCAUUGGGACUUAUCUAUGACUUAUCGCGGCUAAGGGCUCACCCACACUUUCACUUGAACCAUGCCUAGAAAGCGCAAGUUUGAGGGCUUUCCCACUUGUCUCCUCAUGUCCGAGUGGUUUUUCGUAUGUCCCACCAAUUUCCCUGGGAAAACAUUUGUUCUGAUUCAGUGGCGGGACGAGUGGAAGUGUGGUUGGGUAUUACACUGGUAGAAAGACUGCUUCCAACUAACCAUUGGUUCGUUUGCCAACACUAUGCAAAUAAUUCAAGAAUAUCUUAUGUUUUCUGAUGGCACAUAGUUUUUGUGUCAUCUAGUUGACCCUGGGAAGCAGAUCAAAAUUAACAGACAGCAGCAUCAGCCUUUGAAGCCUUGACAAAGGGAAGUAAUCAAGAUAUUCCAGAAGUUGUCAUCUCGACAAAGGGUGAAACAUCCAUGGGUGAAGAAGAUCUGUAACUAUGGGCAUCAUGAGAAGCAAUCUGGGAUCUUUCCUGGCAUAAUACUUAAUGGCCAUGCAUUGCCUAGUAAUACCAAACAGAACAGAGCCACAAUAGUUUCUAGCAAGAAUGAUCUGUGCUAUGUUUUGCUCCCAACCCUCCCCUAGUUCUGUGUUCCCAUGACACAUGUGGGUAGUGCAUACCAAUGUCAGGGAAAUAAAUGUAAUUCUGAUUUAUGGGUGUUGUGUAUUUUUAUCCUUUCCCUUUCCUCUGUUACUCCCUAAGGCCUGACAUAUUCCCUGCUCUCUGAGAGCAAAUACCCAAGUGAGAUGGAUGUGGCGAGUGCACAGAUAACAAGGAGGCAGUUGCCCUGGCAACAGAAGUCCAUGAAAACAUUCUGAGCAUCUUCUGCCUACUGCUCACUGUCCUUUGCACAGUGGCUGAAACAAGAAACAGAUGUUAAAUCUCAGCCCUGGGUUUUUUUGGAAGCUGCAAUUCAUGAGCAAGUAGCAGAGAUAGCCCAUAUGUUUGCACACUAAUUAUCUCUUGCUCCCUACGUACAACACUGGGUGCAAUGGCCAAGUAGGGAUAGCCACUUAACUCUCUUCCUUGAGCCGUGAUAGCAAGGCUUGCACAGCACUGUGCUUCCAUGGAGGGUUUUGAAAACAGUCACAACAUGCCUGAAAAACCAGUUCCUAGAAAUGUAGCAAGGAAAUUCUGUAAUUAAAGAAGAUGGCUCAAAAGGUCUUGGGCCAUUCCUUGGAGGUGCUAUGAAGAUAGGCAUGCCUGGAGGCAAGGGGUGGGAGCACUGACCACCAGCUUUUCAUGAUGUUGCAGUGGGUGGCUAUGGACUGCAUAGUUGUGCCGAUCCGCCCCGCUGAAUCAUGGUGAUUUCAUCCCACAUCAGCUGAUGCUUUGAUGACAUCCAGAUGUCUGCUUCACAUGCAGAGAGCCAGAAAGCUUCCACUGAUCUUGGAACUGGUACUUGGUUACUCCAGAGGGCAGGGCUAGAACCUAUGGAUGGAAAUUCUAGGGAAGCACAUUUCAGCUAAACAAGUGAGGUCCUAAGAGCUGUUGGACAGUGGGACAGACUGCCUGGGGAGGUGGCUGGCUCCUCCUUCGCUGGAGGCAUUUAAGCAGGGGCUAGAUGGGCAUCUUUCAGAGAUGCUGUAGCCACAUCCUGCAUCUCAGGUCCUUAACUGAGCAAGGGAGUUGCGUUAGAGGCCCUCCAAAGUCCCAUCUGAAAGUCUAUGGAUCUACAAAAGGCAGUAGCAGCAGAGGCUGGUCUAUUAGGAUGAAGGUGUUGAGAUGUGUCCAAGGAAACAGUGGCAAUUUGCAGGCCCCCAGCUGGCUCCAGCCCACCGGCCGGCAGCCGGGUGAUCUCCGGUCCUUGGCAUAGCAUGAAACAGUGACCCACAGCUUCAGAACUCUUCAGAAGCUGGAGCAUGCUCUAAUCAGCAGAGUAAUUAACUCUUCGCAACAGAAGGGCAGAUGGAGGCAUAUGUAAAGCAGUUUAUUCAGGACAAAGGGAAAACAUGACUUCUCCCUUUCAUGUCCAAGCAAGCAGCAUAAGCAAAAGCUAUACACAAAAUGGAAGUUCCCGGAAAGCUGUGCUGGACUGUGAACAGGCAUGUGACACACAACAAUCAUGCCUGUUUUUUUUUAAGGUGGAACGGAAUAUCCUGACAGAAGGGGCACCACUCCACUAACUUCAACUUGACCUCAGCCAGUCCCGACUUGCCUGCCCAUACUUGCAACCAGUCCAGAGGAUGGAACUGCUUGUCAGCUUCCUCCCUUCAGUCUCAGGGCUUAUGUACACUUCCUCCUUUCCUGCUGCUUCCCCCCGGGGAAAACCUCUCUUUAGCACUUAAACGGAGCAAACAGUAGUUUGGGUUUUCACGAGCCCUGCUUCACACUCUCUGUGCUUAUUUCAGCUGGAAUGUGUCCUUGACUUCUGAUAAUGUCUCUCGCUUCUCUGGAUGGAGGCUAGAGAGUGGUGUGGGUGGAGAAACUACCCUGAAAUAUAAAAAAGGUGAAUUUUACAUUCGUCACUCCUCGCUUUUGCCUCUAGCCCUGCCCAACAUUGGUAUUUGGAAGGUUGUUCAGAAGGGAAUGUAGCCUUCAGUCUGAAAUUGUUCCCCAUCCCUGUAACAGCAGAACCAAAACAACGGUCAUGCCAGAAGGGGUGGAGUUUUGAACCAACACGGAACGAGAAUGAGCUGUAAGUAUUAUUCAAAAUACUUCAAAAGCCACACAUUCUGCAGCAAUGGACUGGAGCGUCCCUUCUGGAGGUCAAGGCUCAUCACCAAAUUGCAGAAGGAGAUGAAAAAGGCUCCAGUCACAUCCAGUGUCAGUUGGGGAAUGGGUUAAGCUUGGAUUUUGCAGAGGCUUUGGCUGUGGGAGCUACUGUGCGUGGAAUUGAAACGGCAGAGUUGUUUAGUGGGCAGAUAUAAGCUCAUCCUCCUGAACGAGAUUCUCAGGAAACCUUCUGCGGAAACGAAUGAAAUUGCUUCAUAUUUUUUUUUAUCAGUGCUUGACCAGAGUGAACCGGCAGGCCAUAGCUUUAGGCAUUUCAGUUAAUCUGGUCCCCUCCUCCUCUUCCCCAUAUCUAACUGAGCCAAGACAAGUCCAUAGCCAGAAAUCUGGUUGGAAGCCAGCUUUUACAGUAAGUAACGGCCGUGCAGUGGAAUGACACAAUUUGGCUGAAACAAGGCAAUAAUGGGAGAAUCCAAAAUACAUUGAGGUGACCUUGCCUGAGAGUUUGAUGGAGCGUCAGCAAAAGACAUGCAGAGAGAGAAGAGGGUACAAAUUCUAAGACUCAAAAAAAGCAGAAUUGGGCAGGGGAAAAUGUACAAUUGUUGUACAAUGUUGUGAGCCCGAAAGACCUUUUCUGAUACAUCUCCAGAUCUGUGCUUUGACUCCAUGUGGAGGGGCUGUGCUCAGUAGGAGAACACAUGCUGUGCAUGCAGAAGGUCCUGGUCUCAGUCAUCAACAUCUACAGGCAGGGAUUGGAAAGACUCCAAGAGCUGCUGUUGGUCAGUACAGACUAGGGUGGAGGAACCUUUAUUGGAAAAUGAUGCUCUGGUUAAAAUAUAACAUUCCAUGUUUGCUAGGUGAGCACAGGGUUAAACACACAGAGUUCUCUGUAAAUUCCUAGAGGACACUCUUUGAGGUCACAUCCUCUGCUUGCACAAGUGGGAAGGGUAACUAUAGGAACAUAAUCCUUAUCACUUCCACCUCAGGAGCACUCUCUUUCUCGUGAUACAGCCAAAGGCAUAGGAUGAAGGAUUUGUGCAUCCCUGAGCAGACGCCAUCUUUGAUCUAAACCAUGUAUUUUGUAAUCUAGAAAAAUAUUUUGCCUGACUUAUUUCACUGCUAUUUCCUGCUUAAAUUGAGUCUGCAACUAUGUAAGUAAAUAUAUAUCCUUAUAGCAUAGACUUCUGUGUUGUUAUUUUGUUUAAAGGGGAAGAUCCUGUUCCUAGUUUCCAUACAUACUCAUCCAACACUCUCUUCUCCAUCCAGGCAAAUAAGAAGGCAUUGUCAGAAUUCAAGGACAUAUUCCAGUCAGGCAAAAAGCUAUCAAUGAGAGUGUGAAUCAUGGCCAGCAGGGAUGUGAUCUGGGAAAAGUGCCAAAAGCCAGAGGCCUAGAGGGUCGCAUGUCUCCCGUGAAUGGGAGGUUUCACACCCAUGCUCUAUACAUUGGUUUUCUACCACUUUAGCUGGACUGGCUUCCCCCAAAGAAUCUGGGAAAUUAUAGUUAGUGGUGCCAGCCUAAAAUGGCUUGUGGCACUCCUGAGGAAAAGCUGAUUUCUUUUUCAAGGAGGUCUUCCCAGGCACAGUGCUGCUGAACUGAGACCUCUGCAGAGUUAUGUGAGGACUGUUGUGUAUAUAAAUAAAAAUAAAAUUUGAU